rnacentral:rRNA from 1 species
AGAGUUUGAUCMUGGCUCAGAUUGAACGCUGGCGGCAUGCCUAACACAUGCAAGUCGCGCGGGAUGUAGCAAUACAUCUAGCGGCGGACGGGUGAGGAAUACAUAGGAAUCUGCCUCAGAGCGGGGGAUAGCCCAGGGAAACUUGGAGUAAUACCGCAUGAUGUCGAAAGACCAAAGCUGGGGACCGCAAGGCCUAGCACUCUGAGAGGAGCCUAUGUCUGAUUAGCUAGUUGGUAGGGUAACGGCCUACCAAGGCGACGAUCAGUAACUGGUCUGAGAGGACGAUCAGUCACACCGGAACUGAGACACGGUCCGGACUCCUACGGGAGGCAGCAGUGGGGAAUAUUGGACAAUGGGCGCAAGCCUGAUCCAGCAAUGCCGCGUGUGUGAAGAAGGCCUUCGGGUUGUAAAGCACUUUUAUCAGGAACGAAAUACYACGGGUUAAUAACCURUGSGGCUGACGGUACCUGAGGAAUAAGCACCGGCUAACUUCGUGCCAGCAGCCGCGGUAAUA